GGUGGACUCUUAACCAACUGAGGUACCCACGUGCCCCAUGGAGGAACAAGUCAGUCAGGAAGCCCCGCUGCAGCCAUGGCUUUUAAAGACGUCCAGAAGACAUCAUGGAACCAGAGGUGGGGAUUCACCAGUGAAAAUUACUCUAACCAGCCACAACAUAAAAUCUUUAGAGAAGGUAUGUACUGACUUGAUCAGAGGUGCAAAAGGAAAGAAUCUAAAGGGAAAGAACAAGUUCAAAUGUCCACCAAGCCUCUGAGAAUCACCACAAGAAAAACUCAUGCAGAAGCCAGGCCUGUGGCAACCCUCACAGUGUGCCUAGCCAAGACACCACCAGAUAUCAUCCAGCCCACCGUCGACACUGCCGGCCACCAACCAGACCACUGUGGCAGGGACGCACAUACCGGAUCUUCUUUCAGGGUUUGACUUCUCCAGCCUUUCCCCAACCUCCUGGCUCGCUAGCACGGAGGCAUGCUAUCAUGCCCAGGGUUUCUAAAACAGUCUCUGCCUUAAAGAAUCUACAGCUGAGGGCUGUAGAAAUCCACACGGGGGUAAGCCUAGUAUGAUCUGGAGUUGCCAGGCAGAGUUCCGGGGAGGGGCCUCCGGUGGAUUUUAUGGGCGGAGUGGUCCUCAGGAGAGAAAGGCGGACACGUGCGCAUGCGUGAAGGACAAACACGCUGCGUACAAUCCUGCGCAGUGAGCAAUCUGGAGACUACACGAGACAGGGGCGAAGGCGCGGGCAGGAUGGGGAGAAGGACAAAUAGGAAACAGGGGUUUAGAUGUGUGUAGCACAGUUGCUACCAGUCUUGGGUCCAAUACAACACGUGCAUCCACGUGUGUGACGCCCUGUGGGCAGUACAGGGUGAUCACCACCUCCAGCUGGGACAUCUCGUCUAUAUCUCGCACUCCAGAGGGCACCUGCCAGGUACAGGCAAAUUCAUCCCGCUGUGGCUGAGCUGAGGUCUGGCAAAAAAGCUCUCUGACACAAGAAUGUUACACAAGAUAAGGCUGUGAUAAGGACAAAGGAUACAUUUCCGCAGCAGAUAACAGGAGAAAUUCAGUGAGUGUGACCUCUCAGGUCUCUUUGUCUACACCCAAGAGACAGGCUUAGCAGCAGGCAGAGUGAAUGCCUUUCCAGGGGAGGGCUUGGGAAGUAGCCCACCCCACCGACCUUUGCCUGGGUCACUCUUACCCAUUCCUUGGUUCUCAGCUCAAGUGUCAUUUCUUUGGGGAAGCUUCCCUGACCCCUCCUAUAUCAGAUUCUCUGUAUUUCCCUUUGUCAAGUGCAUCACAGCUUAUAUAUUAAUGCAUUUGGGUGACAGUUUGUCUUUACUACUGUAGAUUCAAUCAGCAAAUACUAAUUUUUGCCACAAAAAUUUUGCCACAAACUGUUAAAUUCAGAGAAUACCGUGAGACAUGGACGAGCCCUCAUGAAGCUUAUAGGUUAAGCAUAAAUAUCAGCUGAUAGCUAAGUAGGGGUCCACCCCAACUCCAGAGGUAAGACUCCUCGCAGCCCCAGAAGAACAAUGGGACAGCUCAGGCCCAUUCAACUCCUGGCCUCAAGCCACCCCAGAAGGGCCUCCAGGUGUGGGUGUGCAGGACCCAAGCUGCCUAAACUCCUCCUUCCCAAUGGAGGCAUUCCUUCCUCCAGCUGCUGUGAGCAUUGGCUGUUAAGAGCUGGAGUCCCUCUCCAGGACUUGACCUCAGCCAAAGAGAGGCACGUCAUUACCCAGAGUGAUGUCUGACCUGAUGUCUGGUCAUUUGAAAUGACAAAGGCCUGCACCCCCAUCCUUGCCUCAAUGCAGGACAUUUUUGAAGAAUCAUCCCAGCUUCAGAGCUUCCCAUGGGGCUGCUGAGUGAUGUCUGCCCAGUCCUACCUCCCUCCACUUAAGCGGUUGUUCCUGAGAACACUCCCCAAUAAGACUAGUAUACACAAAUCUUGAGUCUCAUAGUUUGCUCCUGGGGAACCUGAAAUCCACCCCAGUGUGUGAUUGCAUCUGUCUGGAAGAAAGGCUCCUGUUUCUAAUCUGCAUGUAGUUGUCCUUUUAUGACUUAGCAGUAGCCAGGUCCACCCCCCCCCCA